AACGCACCUUGCGCUCCUUGGUAUUCCUCGGAGCAUGCCUGUUUGAGUAUCAUGAAAUUCUCAAAGUAAAUCUUUUGUUAACUCAAUUGGUUCCACUUUGGUAUUGGGGGUCUUGCAGCUUCACACCUGCUCCUCUUUGUUCAUUAGCUGGAUCUCGGUGUUAUGCUUGGUUCCACUCGGCGUGAUAAGUUAUCUAUCGCUGAGGACACUGUAAAAAGUGGCCAAGGUAAAUGCAGAUGAACCGCUUCCAAUAGUCCAUUGACCUGGACAAAUAUUUUUAUGAUCUGAUCUCAAAUCAGGUAGGACUACCCGCUGAACUUAA
rnacentral:misc_RNA from 1 species